rnacentral:lncRNA from 1 species
ACUCAAAAUUUGAAGUCAAAAGACUAAAAAAUUUAUUUUUCACAGAAUUUUUUCUAAAGGCAUGUCUGUGCGUUUUGCUUGGGUCCUAUUUUUCCAAGAGCGCCUACUGAGAUUAAAAGGCUUAUAACCUGAGAACUCCUUUACCUAGAAACAUAAUCUUGGUCUCAAAUGAAAGCUAAGACCCUGGGACCCUUGUUCGACACUUGUAGCUAGUUUUGGGUAAAAUGACAUGGAUAUUCCCAUUCUAUGGACUCUUGGCGAACUAUGAAAAAUAAAUUGUGGCAUGACGUUGUAGCUGUGGAAAAAGGGAACACUCCGAAGGUGUGUAGGCAUUCUUGCUUCCUGCGGUAGAGGGCUCUUUCUAAUGUUGUGUCAUGGUGAGUUUAGAAGGCUAUAACAUGGUCUGGAAAUAACUUUUUUUAUUUGUGUUUGGGCUUAAAAUAAUCACGACAGUCUCAGCUUUCCAACAGUGAGUAUAUACUGUUAAGAUCUGAUGCUUAAAACUAUUAGCAAAAAAACUAUUAGUUUUUACGAAGGGUGUUCGUUUAGUGAAGGGUGUUCGUUUAGUGAAGGGUGUUCCUAUGUUGGAACGGUGUUCCUUAAGGGGUUAAAUUCUGGAAUUUUACAUAAACAGUUUGCUGAGGUGAUGGUUCAAAUAUACCAGUUCACCAAAUAAACCGUUGACGUCAGUCGGUCCAAUCGUCUCUCCAGUUUAGUUGAUUUGUCCCGUCUCACUGCUGAGGCGUCUGUGUGACCCUGCGAUGUGAUGUCAUUCUCCAGUGACAUCACAUCGCAGCCUCCACCUGUCAGCUCGACCGCAUCCAAUCAAAAGAGGUGUGACGGUUUCCAUCACACCCUGUAAAUGUAAAGUGUGACAGCUGACUGUUUAUGAUCAUAGUGAUGCUGUUGUAAGUGUUGUGGGUGAGAUCCUGACCCGCCAAACAUCCUGGAAAGUGACACAGAGAAGUUUUCUGUUCUUAACGGCAUCAUCACAUGAUGACAUCAGGAAACAGAGGACCCUGUCUGACUGAAGACUGGGUCCUGGCGUCACGGGGACUUCUCCUCAUUAAAGUUGGUGAUUUUUAUUUCAAUUUAAGUUCACAGAGACAGAAACUACGAGACAAAGUGAAUCUUUAUUUGAUCACAAAUGUUCAACAAGGUGAAAUUGGUGCUCAGCAUGUCACCCAGAUGGAACAGAGGUUUGCUCCGGGUGGAACAGAGGUUUGCUCCGGGUGGGACAGAGGUUUGCUCCGGGUGGGACAGAGGUUUGCUCCGGGUGGGACAGAGGUUUGCUCCGGGUGGGACAGAGGUUUGCUCCGGGUGGAACAGAGGUUUGCUCCGGGUGGAACAGAGGUUUGCUCCGGGUGGAACAGAGGUUUGCUCCGGGUGGAACAGAGGUUUGCUCCGGGUGGAACAGAGGUUUGCUCCGGGUGGAACAGAGGUUUGCUCCGGGUGGUCGGGCUCACUGUCACAGGACGACUGCUUCAGGCAACAGAGAUGUGA